AGAUGUGAGGGCGAUCUGGCUGUGACAUCUAUCACCCCAUUGAUCGCCUGGGUUGAUUCGGCUGAUCGGGCUGGCUAGGCGGGUGUCCCCUUCCUCCCUCACCGUUCCAUGUGCGUCCCUCCCGAAGCUGUGCGCUCGGUGGAAGAGGACGACCAUCCCAGACAGGAGUGUACCGUUCUUCGGUCAAGGGUAUACGAUAGCUGCGCUCCCCUGCUAGAACCUCCAAACAAGCCAAUUAGUUAAACUCACGCCUUCCAUUAGAUUCAUAACUAGGCAUGCAUAACAGCUAGCCACAGUUGUGUGUCUGUUGUG